ACGAACGCUGGCGGCGUGCUUCACACAUGCAAGUCGAACGGAAAGGCCCUGCUUUUGUGGGGUGCUCGAGUGGCGAACGGGUGAGUAACACGUGAGUAACCUGCCCUUGACUUUGGGAUAACUUCAGGAAACUGGGGCUAAUACCGGAUAGGAGCUCCUGCUGCAUGGUGGGGGUUGGAAAGUUUCGGCGGUUGGGGAUGGACUCGCGGCUUAUCAGCUUGUUGGUGGGGUAGUGGCUUACCAAGGCUUUGACGGGUAGCCGGCCUGGGAGGGUGACCGGCCCAUUGGGGAUGGGGAAACGGCCAGAACCCCUGGGGGGGGAAGAGGGGGGAAAAUUUGCCAAAGGGGGGGAGCCCGGAGCAGGCAACCCCGGGGGGGGGAGGCGGGCCUUGGGGUUGAAACCCCCUUUCCCCGUGAACGAGGGGGGGGGACGGGUAAUGGGAAAAAAACCACCGGUAAACUACGG
rnacentral:rRNA from 1 species